rnacentral:lncRNA from 1 species
CUCUUCAAAUCGAACGUUGCGUGUUCUUGUCUCUGGUCUAGAUGUCUGUUUAAAAUAUGCGCAAUAUCAGGAGCACCGCGCGCAUCAAGUGAGGACAGUUCACUCAAUUCUCGCAGAGUAUCAGCCAUAGUUCCAACAUCUUUAGGUAGAUCAGGGCCAGGUUCACGUUGAAACCAUGCUGGGGGUUGACUGCUGGUGACAUCAACUUCUUCUAAGACUUCUGUGAUUCUUUUGUCAAGAUCUGUCCCUUCACAUGUCAAUAUAACUGCCGCCAAUUC